AUUUAUAUAGUUUAAAUAAAACGUUACAUUUUCAUUGUAAAAUUAGAAAUCUUUUUCUUAUAAAUA
rnacentral:tRNA from 1 species